rnacentral:lncRNA from 1 species
UGGUGUGUUGUUUAUUGGCCAUGACCUCCCAUCCUCUCCCCGAAGCAAUGCCUUCCAGGAGGCAGCCCCACAUCCUGUAAGUGCACAGCUCCACUUCCCAGAAGCAUACGCUGGCAUUUGGUUACAUUAAAAGCACUUGCUAUUUAAAUCAUUCCAGCUUACAAAACGAUGUAGAACUGUCCUUCCCUUACCAUUAUUCACCACUGCCAACUAUUGCUCCGAAAUGCAAACCUUGCUAAUAAUGAGCUGAUCUUUUCUUUUAGGUCAUUAACAAAUGUAUUGCACCGAACAGCACCCUAUGCUUGACCACAUCUCCCCAAGUAAAACUACUCACUGAGAUCUCCUGGUUGAAAGCCAAAAUCAACCCUUGGCGAGAUAUAACUCCAUUGGCUGCAGUGGGGUGCCAUCACAUCAGCUCUGCAUCCAAGUCUCAAUUGCAUAUUCUGUACUAACAUCCUUCUUGGCAGGGUCAGGAAAAUCCAGUAUCUGAGCAUUUCUUAUGUGAAUUUUGCAAAUUCUCAGCCAAAUUUCUCUCACACAAAAGACGUGAUGUGUCAUACAGUCACUGGAUCACACGGGUUUCGAUAGGACUCCUGCAACUUCAGAAGCGUCUCCUGCAUGACA